CAUUUUAGCAUUUUUUAUGUCACUUUCUCUCGUAGAUGGAAUGUAUUAUGGUGAAUUAUAGUAAUUCGUUUUGUUAAUAUCGAUGAGUGCCUGCGUAUUUCUUAAUAAAGUUGUUCUUAAACGAAGUAAAUAGCCGGAAAUAAAAAAUCAUUCGUAACUUUUAAACGGUUGAACCUGGAUACCUUAACCAAAAAAUCUUACAUUCAGCCAAUCGAAAUUAUCCCGUCAUCCCGUGCGCUCCCGAAAACGACGGGUGGAGAAAACAUGGCGGAAAAGCAGGAUAAAGAAAGAAAAUUUAAGUAGAAUAAUAUCUCGUAUUAUACAAUCUUAAAAAGCAUCGUAUAGAGUGAAAAAAACAAUGUUUAUACCUCUCAAUAUACUAUACGCUUUGUGAUACUGUAAGAAAUUUAUUCGAAACAUGAAGGCGGGAUAUGACGUGGCGAAGUUAAUCAUCGAUGUUUUCCAUACUCUCGUAUCAGCUUUUUCAAGGACAUGUGAUUUCAUAACAUUUUGGAAUUAAAACAGGAGAUUUUAUACGUAAAUUUACUUUCAUUUUCCUGGACAACGAAUGCUUAUAAUUUAGUUAUUACUUUAUAAAUCCCCCUCUUCGUUGUGUGCUGCAUUUUUUCUUUACAUUACGAUUAAAAAAAUGACAACAGGAAAGGUAUUGUGCGGGUUUACGACUCGUCUACUCACGUGAUUAUCCUGUCCCCUUGCAACUUCCGCUUCU